GGGGCAUUAGCUCAGCUGAUAGAGCGCUACAUUCGCAUUGUAGAGGUCGGGGGUUUAAGUCCCCCAUGCUCCACCA
rnacentral:tRNA from 1 species